rnacentral:rRNA from 1 species
CAGCAGCCGCGGUAAUACAGAGGGUGCGAGCGUUAAUCGGAUUUACUGGGCGUAAAGCGUGCGUAGGCGGCUUCUUAAGUCGGAUGUGAAAUCCCUGAGCUUAACUUAGGAAUUGCAUUCGAUACUGGGAAGCUAGAGUAUGGGAGAGGAUGGUAGAAUUCCAGGUGUAGCGGUGAAAUGCGUAGAGAUCUGGAAGAACACCAGUGGCGAAGGCGGCUCACUGGCUCAUUCUAGACGCUGAGGUGCGAAAGCGUGGGGAGCAAACAGGAUUAGAUACCCCUGUAGUCCAUGUCUCUUAUAC